ensembl:lncRNA
GCAGCAGAACGAGAGGAUUAGAGAGACGAAUCAAUCUGUGCCAUAGGAGAGCAUUCACAGCAGUUUACUCUCUCAGCUAGUCAGUGUGGGUGAGGGAGUGAGUAAGGGAGUGAGUGAGUGAGUGAGUGAGUGUGAGGGAGUGAGGGAGUGAAUGAGGGAGUGAGUGAAGGAGUGAGUGAGUGAGUGAGGGAGUGAGUGAGUGAGGGAGUGAGUGAGGGAGUGAAUGAGGGAGGGAUGGAUGAGUGAGUGAAGGAGUGAAUGGUCUGAGUGAGUUAAAGAGUGAGUGAGUGAGUUAGUGAGUGAGUGAGUGAGUGAAGGGGGGAGUGGUGUGUGUGUGUGUGUGUGUGUGUGUGUGUGUGUGUGUGUGUGUGUGUGUGUGUGUGUGUGUGUGUGUGUGUGUGUGUGAGUGAGUGAGUU